rnacentral:miRNA from 1 species
AAGUGGCUAUGCCGCGACGGG